AGUAGGGUUGACAACUCUAGGACUGGUAAGACUGGGGAUAACUCCCCGGAAAGACAAGAGGCUAAUACCGGAUAGUUCCUUGAACCGCAUGGUUCAAGGAUGAAAGACGGUUUCGGCUGUCACUUACAGAUGGACCCGCGGCGCAUUAGCUAGUUGGUGAGGUAACGGCUCACCAAGGCGACGAUGCGUAGCCGACCUGAGAGGGUGAUCGGCCACACUGGGACUGAGACACGGCCCAGACUCCUACGGGAGGCAGCAGUAGGGAAUCUUCCGCAAUGGACGAAAGUCUGACGGAGCAACGCCGCGUGAGUGAUGAAGGUUUUCGGAUCGUAAAGCUCUGUUGUUAGGGAAGAACAAGUGCAAGAGUAACUGCUUGCACCUUGACGGUACCUAACCAGAAAGCCACGGCUAACUACGUGCCAGCAGCCGCGGUAAUACGUAGGUGGCAAGCGUUGUCCGGAAUUAUUGGGCGUAAAGGGCUCGCAGGCGGUUUCUUAAGUCUGAUGUGAAAGCCCCCGGCUCAACCGGGGAGGGUCAUUGGAAACUGGGAAACUUGAGUGCAGAAGAGGAGAGUGGAAUUCCACGUGUAGCGGUGAAAUGCGUAGAGAUGUGGAGGAACACCAGUGGCGAAGGCGACUCUCUGGUCUGUAACUGACGCUGAGGAGCGAAAGCGUGGGGAGCGAACAGGAUUAGAUACCCUGGUAGUCCACGCCGUAAACGAUGAGUGCUAAGUGGUUAGGGGGUUUCCCCCCUUGUGCUGCAGCUAACUGCAUUAGCACUCCGCCUGGCGGAGUACGGUCGCAAGAC
rnacentral:rRNA from 1 species